rnacentral:rRNA from 1 species
ACUCAAAGGAAUUGACGGGGGCCCGCACAAGCGGUGGAGCAUGUGGUUUAAUUCGACGCUACGCGAAGAACCUUACCUGGGCUCGAACGACUGGUGGUACCUUAUUUGAAAGGAUGAGGGACCCGCAAGGGAGCCAGCCGAGGUGCUGCAUGGUUGUCGUCAGCUCGUGUCGUGAGAUGUUGGGUUAAGUCCCGCAACGAGCGCAACCCCUGUCCUGUGUUGCUACCCGCAAGGGAGGACUCUCAGGAGACUGCCGCGGAUAACGUGGAGGAAGGUGGGGACGACGUCAAAUCAUCAUGGCCUUUAUGUCCAGGGCUACACACGUGCUACAAUGGCGUAUACAGAGGGAAGCAAGACCGCAAGGUGGAGCAAAUCCCUAAAGUACGCCCCAGUUCGGAUUGUGGGCUGCAAUUCGCCCACAUGAAGGUGGAAUCGCUAGUAAUCGCAGAUCAGCAGGCUGCGGUGAAUACGUUCCCGGGCCUUGUACACACCGCCCGU